UGAAAUGCUAUAGUUGGAAAGU
rnacentral:miRNA from 1 species